rnacentral:rRNA from 1 species
UACGUAGGGUGCGAGCGUUAAUCGGAAUUACUGGGCGUAAAGCGUGCGCAGGCGGUUUUUUAAGACAGGGGUGAAAUCCCCGGGCUUAACCCGGGAACUGCCUUUGUGACUGCAAGGCUAGAGUGUGGCAGAGGGGGGUAGAAUUCCACGUGUAGCAGUGAAAUGCGUAGAUAUGUGGAGGAAUACCGAUGGCGAAGGCGGCCCCCUGGGCUAACACUGACGCUCAUGCGCGAAAGCGUGGGGAGCAAACAGG